GAAUACAAGGAGCAACCAGUGGGGAUAGUAGAUACCAAGGAGCGAGUAACCUAGAACAAAGUGGUAAAAAUCUACAAAGUUGUGUGGACUCAUCAUGAUGAUAGAGAUGCCACAUGGGACAUCGAGGAUUACCUAAAAUUAGUUUACCCAAAGUUUCAUUAGAAAUGGUUAGUAACUCAAAAUCUCGGGAUGAGAUUUCCUCAAGGGGGGAAGGGUUGUAACACCCUAGGUGUUAAGCAUGCACCUAGUCUCACAACUCAUUCAUAAGCACUCUAAUCAAGCAUGGGC
rnacentral:lncRNA from 1 species